AAAGCUCGAUCUUCGUCUAUCUUCUUGGCCGAAAGUUUUGAGGCUGGACGGUUUCCAUCAUCCCCUCCCUCUUGAAAAGGAUCUGUCCUCAGAUCUGAAUGAUGCUCAAUGACAGCAACCUCUGUUUAUUUGAUGGUUUCCUCCUGGGUCAAAUGUCAAUCUGCAAUAAACAUCAAACAAACAUGAGAUAAAUUUCCUUUUUAGAAGAAAAUUAAAAGAAAAGAAAACUAAACAAAAAUAAGUCCCCUUUUCUUUAAAAUUCUUUUUAAAGAAAAACAUAAGGCCCAUUUCAAAAAUAUUUUUGUUCACUUUGUGUUGUUUAUUGCCCAAGCUAGGCAACAACAUCACAAAGUGUUGUUUUUGAUCUUUUUGUGAAGAAGAAUGAGCAUUAUAUAAUUGAAAAGAAGAGUUCAAAGUAUUGCAAUCCACCUUUAAGGAUUCUUUCUCAACCAUGCUUUCAGGGGGUGUCAUAAAAGACUCUUCUUCUUUGUGGGUUUCCUCUUCUUCUUCCUUUUCAAUCAAACAUUCUUCUGUAUUUUCUGUGGAGGAAAUAUUUAUAUCUAUAUUUGGUUCAGCUCCAAACAUAGAUUUUUCUUCAAGCACAUCCUCACAAGGGUUUUUGUACCGCCCUGGUGGUCGGGUGUGAUGACGUGGCAUCCUGCUACAGUAUAGGCGUGUGGACAAGGCGCCAAGUUGGCAGAAGGGAAGGAAGUCGGGGGGCUCGCGUAGUCGCCAGUUGUUAUAUUGGCGUGUUCUGAUCUCCAGCUUACCAGAAUCGGCGAUCACCAGGUUAAGGAUAAAGUCGCCAGAUGUAGAUUCAGGCGACCUAGUCAUUGGAGAUCGCCAGAGCAAACACAUCGCCAAACAUGAAGAAGAAGCAGAUUAUGAAGGCGGCCGGCGAGACCACAGGGAAGGUGUAUGAAGGCCCCUAACUCGCCAGUUCAAGUAGAGAUCGCACUCCCAAGUUAGCUAUGCACUGGGCAGUACCAUGCAUAAGUAACUUAGCCAAAAUGAGAGUAGAAGCAGCACCAAGUCAAGGAGCCUCCAGAUGAUGGCACGUGUACAGUUGGAUGCGAGCCACGUGUCCAAAUCUGUAACUGCCAGGAGAGAGAAAGCCACCAGGUAUAUAAGAGUUCUUAACGAACUUUCUGAGGUACGCACGUUCAGUUCAUACACUUUACGCUUGCGAGUUAGAGCUGACUGUGAGAGAGGAUUUGCACGGUUCUUGUUCUCUUGGUAUUUGGUGAUACCGUCACUGACUUGAGCGUUGGAGUGCGAUCGGCCGCAGCGGCGCCGUACUGUUUCUUUGCAGGUUCUUGAAGUAGAUCCCGAAGAGGAACGGAGGUGAGAAGCGGUGCGCACGUCGAUCCCUUGACGAGGCAGUUUCCAGCGUUCCGGUCAACAGGUAGGAUCAGUUUUCUAGAGAAGAUAAAAUGUUAUCGAUAUCUGAUUCAACUCGAGAAAAAGAGUUUUUUUUACUUUCCUUUUUCUCAUUCUUUUCUUUCUUUCUGACAAGAGCUUGGAAUUUUUCUCUAAACUCUUUGUCUCUUCUAACAUAUUCUUUUUCUCUGUAUAUAAAAUUUCUUCCUUUUUCUAGAAGCUCUUUCAUUUCUUCUCUAAGCUUUUUGUUUUUCACAUAUGAAGGUGGAACAAACUUUCUUCUCAUACACAUCUUCAAUUCAUCCCAAUUCAAUAUUUCUGAUUUUCUACCAAUUCUAACAUCUGCUUCCCUUUGUAUCCACCAAGACCUAGCAUAUUCUUGAAAACUUAGGGUAGCCAUGGAAAAUUUUCUAAAUUCAUCCAAUUGAUGUUUUUCAAAGAUUUGAUCAACUUUUGUUUCCCAUUCUAAAUAUGCUUCAACAUUUUUAUUUCCAUCAAAGUAAGGAAUGUAUACUUCAGACUCAGUAGAAUAAUAUAAACUUCUAGGCUCAAAACACAUCCCUUCCUUUUUUUUAUAAUGAGGAUUAUAAAUCUUUCUACUAUGACAAGAAGUAUACAUAGACAUAUUAAGCUUUGUAUUUAAAAGAUUUUUCAUAAGAAGGAAAGUGAGUUUAGCACACAAGGUAAAUUCCCAGGAAAGAGAGGUGGGUCACAAUGGACACUCUUAAGUACCAAGUCUUUCCUAGCCAGAACUUAUCCCAAUGCACUUCACAAAUCUCCUUCCAAUGAAAACUUCUUCAACACAAACAAAGAGUUUUCUAAAGAAAGAAACUAAAAGAAAGCUUUUAAAAUCUAAGAAUUUAAAUUGCAAAAAUUUAAACUAGACGACUCCUAAUGGUGAGGCUUGUAGGCACUUGUGAACCUUCAAGACACACUCACCGUCUAAAGCGUGUAUCUAAUAAGAAAAUUAAAGAAAACUUGUAGGAGAUGGAAGAACACCAAAGGCUCUUCCAAGACACCUAAAGUAAAGAUAAUGGCCAAAUUACAAAACAAUUGAAAUCACACAAAAUUUUAAAAAAUAAUCUUCAAAGUUCUCUUCUCUUUUCUCACAAGUGUUUCUCUCCAAGCCUUUACUUGUUUGUCCUCCAAAGGUGAGUACCCCUUGCAAAGUCCUUUGCCUUCUCUUAGGAUGCUACCUAGAAGUUAGCUCAAUUCUCACAAAGAACAAAUUCAAGGUAUAUUCCACUUCAAGAGGUCAAUAAUAAAAGCAAUAAAAGCUCAAUUUGAAGAGUGAAACUCAAAGGAGAUUAGAGAUGACAAACACAAAGAUUAUCCAUAAAAUCAAGACAAGCAAGAAAUUAAAGGUUUUCAAGAAAGUAAGCACUCAAAAGAAGCACCUAAAGAUUGGCACUAGAAUGAUGAAAAUUCUUAGUAGACCAUGAAAUCCAAAAUGUUGC
rnacentral:lncRNA from 1 species